GACAGAGGGUGCAAACGUUGUUCGGAUUUACUGGGCGUAAAGCGCACGUAGGCGGACUCUUAAGUCAGGGGUGAAAUCCUGGAGCUCAACUCCAGAACUGCCUUUGAUACUGGGAGUCUUGAGUUCGGGAGAGGUGAGUGGAACUGCGAGUGUAGGUGAAAUUCGUAGAUAUUCGCAAGAACACCAGUGGCGAAGGCGGCUCACUGGCCCGAUACUGACGCUGAGGUGCGAAAGCGUGGGGAGCAAACAGG
rnacentral:rRNA from 1 species